UGGCGCUUGCGAGGCAGGCCACGAAACCACUGAGCUAAAUCCCCGGCCCUUGUUACUUACUUUCUUCUUGAGGUGCACAGGAGCUAUGGCCUGGUCUGAAGGCCACUGAGGCGGUAAAAUAGGGGGCUUGAGGGGACGCUGGCACUGUCUUUUGGGGCGUCCGUGCUUCCUGGGGCCGUGGCGCUCUGAGGUGAAAGGGCUGGGGUCCGCGCGGAGGGGCGAGGCCAGUGUUUGGCCCUGGCGGGCUCUGCGCUGCUCGCUCUGCCACCAGUGGCUGCUCGCCCUCAGCCAAGGGCCUGCGCGCAGAUCACAGGUACUGUCCUGGGCCUCGGGCAGAGCGCGGCAGCCGGUGGGAAUGGUUCGUGCCGCGAGUGAAUGAGGAGGAAGCAUCGGGCAAGGCAAGGAGCGUGCCUGGGGUUGGACCCGGCUCUGCCUCUGACGGGCCGCAGAAGUGCCAGCUCCCAGCGCCUCUGCGCUUCAGUGCCAUCCGCCCCUGGACCCCACGCGUUACAGUGAUGCUUGGACUGGAAUGUCUUGUAUCCGUUGCAGUUCUGUUGCAGAACUUCAGAAUUCUGUUGCUUCUGUGUGACCUAAGCAAAUCCCUUCAUCUCGCGAAGCCCAAAUUCUCUAUUCUGUAAAAUAAAGGGCUUGAAGUAGAUGAUCCUAAUGUGCCUUCUGGGGAUAUACUUUACUUACCUACACCUGGGUUCAUUGCUACGCCAUUCUUAGCACAAGAAGAAUAAAGAAAGAAAGAGAGAGAAAAGAAAGCGAGAGAAAGAGAAAGAGAGAAAGAAAAAAGAAAGCAAGCAAACUGGGAUGAUUCUGAGCAAGAAUCUCAUCUUGGGAUGUAAAGUUGGAAAUGAAUUUGUGACUUCAGAUAUGGGGUGGUUCAGGAUCUCGGGGGCCACAUGUGCUGCUUUUGCUAGAGACAAGAGCCAAGGCAAGCUCUUCCUUUCUCCAACAGCCUGUGCUUGUACCUGGAGCCCAGAUCUUAUGUUUCAUCCUGCCUCUGUAAUUAGGUGCCACUUCACUGACUGCAGAACACUGGGAGUAUUCAAGUAUUCAGUGGGCUGAUGAAGAAGGGUUGAUGAUUUGCCACCCCCUCUGGCCUUCCAGGCUACAGGGCUUACCAUCCAUCCACAGGGGGUGGCAGGAGAAGCCCCAAAAGGAAGGCUCUCCAGGUACCCCAAACACCAUGUCCUGCACAGCCAUGGAAUUGCCAUUUGAAGAGGUGCUGGCCAAGGAAGGGUCUGGAUUACUAAACUAGGGCUUGGACAGUCCCACAGAGACAGAGUCUCACUAUACAGUUCAGGCUGGA